GAUGAACGCUGGCGGCGUGCUUAACACAUGCAAGUCGAACGGAGAGCUCAUGACAGAGGAUUCGUCCAAUGGAUUGUAGUUUCUUAGUGGCGGACGGGUGAGUAACGCGUGAGGAACCUGCCUCGGAGGUGGGAAUAACAGUACCGAAAGGACUGCUAAUACCGCAUAAUGCAGUUGUGUCGCAUGACACUGACUGACCAAAGUAUUUAUCGCUCUGAGAUGGCCUCGCGUCUG
rnacentral:rRNA from 1 species